UCGAGAAUAAUUCGCAAUGGGCGAAAGCCUGACGAUGCGACGCCGUGUGAACGAUGAAGGCCUUCGGGUUGUAAAGUUCUGUCGCCUGCGAACAAGGUUAUAUUGUGAAUAACAGUGUAACUUGAGUGUAGUAGGAAAGGAAGCACCGGCUAACUCCGUGCCAGCAGCUGCGGUAAUACGGAGGGUGCAAGCGUUAGUCGGAAUUACUGGGCGUAAAGGGUGCGUAGGCGGGGAUGUAAGUUAGAUGUGAAAUACCGUUGCUCAACAACGGCCGUGCAUCUAAAAACUGCAUUUC
rnacentral:rRNA from 1 species